CUGCCGCUGACGUUCCGCUGCCGGGAGGGGAGAGGGCGCCGCCCCGCGGGCUCCGAACGCCGGCUCCACAGUAACAGAAGAGAUUGCACAGCUGUUAGAGAACUAUCACCUUUUCACAAACCAGAAGGAAGAAACCAUGAGAAAGAAAAAAGAAACAAACAAAAAAGGGCCAUCUCAGUCAUCUGUCUAUAUCUUGCCAUUGGACCCAGAUGGCUCUGGAGGAGA
rnacentral:lncRNA from 1 species